GGGAAUCUUCGGCAAUGGGCGAAAGCCUGACCGAGCAACGCCGCGUGAGUGAAGAAGGUUUUCGGAUCGUAAAACUCUGUUGUUAGAGAAGAACAAGGACGUUAGUAACUGAACGUCCCCUGACGGUAUCUAACCAGAAAGCCACGGCUAACUACGUGCCAGCAGCCGCGGUAAUACGUAGGGGGCUAGCGUUAUCCGGAAUUACUGGGCGUAAAGGGUGCGUAGGUGGUUUCUUAAGUCAGAGGUGAAAGGCUACGGCUCAACCGUAGUAAGCCUUUGAAACUGGGGAACUUGAGUGCAGGAGAGGAGAGUGGAAUUCCUAGUGUAGCGGUGAAAUGCGUAGAUAUAUGGAGGAACACCAGUGGCGAAGGCGGCUUCCUGGUCUGCAACUGACACUGAGGCGCGAAAGCGUGGGGAGCA
rnacentral:rRNA from 1 species